UCGGUGGUUAAGAGCACUGACUGCUCUUC
rnacentral:piRNA from 1 species